UCCGGCGUAGGGUAAUUGGCAGCCCGCGAGACUUUGACUCUCGUUGUGCUGGUUCGAGUCCAGCCGCCGGAA
rnacentral:tRNA from 1 species